rnacentral:rRNA from 1 species
GGUUCAGGAUGAACGCUAGCGACAGGCUUAACACAUGCAAGUCGAGGGGCAGCAUAAAAGUAGCAAUACUUGGUGGCGACCGGCGCACGGGUGAGUAACGCGUAUGCAACCUACCUAUCAGAGGGGAAUAACCGGCGAAAGUCGGACUAAUACCGCAUAAAACAGGGGCACCGCAUGGUGAUAUUUGUUAAAGAAAUUCGCUGAUAGAUGGGCAUGCGUUCCAUUAGGUAGUUGGUGAGGUAACGGCUCACCAAGCCGACGAUGGAUAGGGGAACUGAGAGGUUGGUCCCCCACACUGGUACUGAGACACGGACCAGACUCCUACGGGAGGCAGCAGUGAGGAAUAUUGGUCAAUGGGCGAGAGCCUGAACCAGCCAAGUCGCGUGAAGGAAGAAGGAUCUAUGGUUCGUAAACUUCUUUUGCAGGGGAAUAAAGUGCAGGACGUGUCCUGUUUUGUAUGUACCCUGAGAAUAAGGAUCGGCUAACUCCGUGCCAGCCGCCGC